rnacentral:siRNA from 1 species
CAGCAGGUGCGAUCAGACCAUU